rnacentral:rRNA from 1 species
AGAGUUUGAUCCUGGCUCAGGACGAACGCUGGCGGCGUGCCUAAUACAUGCAAGUAGAACGCUGAAGAGAGGAGCUUGCUCUUCUUGGAUGAGUUGCGAACGGGUGAGUAACGCGUAGGUAACCUGCCUUGUAGCGGGGGAUAACUAUUGGAAACGAUAGCUAAUACCGCAUAACAAUGGAUGACACAUGUCAUUUAUUUGAAAGGGGCAAUUGCUCCACUACAAGAUGGACCUGCGUUGUAUUAGCUAGUAGGUGAGGUAACGGCUCACCUAGGCGACGAUACAUAGCCGACCUGAGAGGGUGAUCGGCCACACUGGGACUGAGACACGGCCCAGACUCCUACGGGAGGCAGCAGUAGGGAAUCUUCGGCAAUGGGGGCAACCCUGACCGAGCAACGCCGCGUGAGUGAAGAAGGUUUUCGGAUCGUAAAGCUCUGUUGUAAGUCAAGAACGAGUGUGAGAGUGGAAAGUUCACACUGUGACGGUAGCUUACCAGAAAGGGACGGCUAACUACGUGCCAGCAGCCGCGGUAAUACGUAGGUCCCGAGCGUUGUCCGGAUUUAUUGGGCGUAAAGCGAGCGCAGGCGGUUUGAUAAGUCUGAAGUUAAAGGCUGUGGCUCAACCAUAGUUCGCUUUGGAAACUGUCAAACUUGAGUGCAGAAGGGGAGAGUGGAAUUCCAUGUGUAGCGGUGAAAUGCGUAGAUAUAUGGAGGAACACCGGUGGCGAAAGCGGCUCUCUGGUCUGUAACUGACGCUGAGGCUCGAAAGCGUGGGGAGCGAACAGGAUUAGAUACCCUGGUAGUCCACGCCGUAAACGAUGAGUGCUAGGUGUUGGAUCCUUUCCGGGAUUCAGUGCCGCAGCUAACGCACUAAGCACUCCGCCUGGGGAGUACGACCGCAAGGUUGAAACUCAAAGGAAUUGACGGGGGCCCGCACAAGCGGUGGAGCAUGUGGUUUAAUUCGAAGCAACGCGAAGAACCUUACCAGGUCUUGACAUCCCGAUGCUAUUUCUAGAGAUAGAAAGUUACUUCGGUACAUCGGUGACAGGUGGUGCAUGGUUGUCGUCAGCUCGUGUCGUGAGAUGUUGGGUUAAGUCCCGCAACGAGCGCAGCCCCUAUUGUUAGUUGCCAUCAUUCAGUUGGGCACUCUAGCGAGACUGCCGGUAAUAAACCGGAGGAAGGUGGGGAUGACGUCAAAUCAUCAUGCCCCUUAUGACCUGGGCUACACACGUGCUACAAUGGUUGGUACAACGAGUUGCGAGUCGGUGACGGCAAGCUAAUCUCUUAAAGCCAAUCUCAGUUCGGAUUGUAGGCUGCAACUCGCCUACAUGAAGUCGGAAUCGCUAGUAAUCGCGGAUCAGCACGCCGCGGUGAAUACGUUCCCGGGCCUUGUACACACCGCCCGUCACACCACGAGAGUUUGUAACACCCGAAGUCGGUGAGGUAACCUUUUGGAGCCAGCCGCCUAAGGUGGGAUAGAUGAUUGGGGUGAAGUCGUAACAAGGUA